rnacentral:rRNA from 1 species
UAGAAUUCCACGUGUAGCGGUGAAAUGCGUAGAGAUGUGGAGGAAUACCGGUGGCGAAGGCGGCCUUCUGGACAGAUACUGACGCUGAGAUGCGAAAGCGUGGGGAGCAAACAGGAUUAGAUACCCUGGUAGUCCACGCUGUAAACGAUGUCGAUUUGGAGUUUGUUGCCUAGAGUGAUGGGCUCCGAAGCUAACGCGAUAAAUCGACCGCCUGGGGAGUACGGCCGCAAGGUUAAAACUCAAAUGAAUUGACGGGGGCCCGCACAAGCGGUGGAGCAUGUGGUUUAAUUCGAUGCAACGCGAAGAACCUUACCUGGUCUUGACAUCCACAGAAUCUUGCAGAGAUGCGAGAGUGCCUUCGGGAACUGUGAGACAGGUGCUGCAUGGCUGUCGUCAGCUCGUGUUGUGAAAUGUUGGGUUAAGUCCCGCAACGAGCGCAACCCUUAUCCUUUGUUGCCAGCGAUUCGGUCGGGAACUCAAAGGAGACUGCCGUUGAUAAAGCGGAGGAAGGUGGGGACGACGUCAAGUCAUCAUGGCCCUUACGACCAGGGCUACACACGUGCUACAAUGGCGUAUACAAAGGGAGGCGACCUCGCGAGAGCAAGCGGACCUCAUAAAGUACGUCUAAGUCCGGAUUGGAGUCUGCAACUCGACUCCAUGAAGUCGGAAUCGCUAGUAACCGUGAAUCAGAAUGU